rnacentral:rRNA from 1 species
AUAACUAUUGGAAACGAUGGCUAAUACCGCAUAAUGCCUUCGGGCCAAAGAGGGGGACCUUCGGGCCUCUCGCGUCAGGAUAUGCCUAGGUGGGAUUAGCUAGUUGGUGAGGUAAUGGCUCACCAAGGCGACGAUCCCUAGCUGGUCUGAGAGGAUGAUCAGCCACACUGGAACUGAGACACGGUCCAGACUCCUACGGGAGGCAGCAGUGGGGAAUAUUGCACAAUGGGCGCAAGCCUGAUGCAGCCAUGCCGCGUGUGUGAAGAAGGCCUUCGGGUUGUAAAGCACUUUCAGUCGUGAGGAAGGUAGUGUAGUUAAUAGCUGCAUUAUUUGACGUUAGCGACAGAAGAAGCACCGGCUAACUUCGUGCCAGCAGCCGCGGUAAUACGGAGGGUGCGAGCGUUAAUCGGAAUUACUGGGCGUAAAGCGCAUGCAGGUGGUUUGUUAAGUCAGAUGUGAAAGCCCGGGGCUCAACCUCGGAAUUGCGUUUGAAACUGGCAGACUAGAGUACUGUAGAGGGGGGUAGAAUUUCAGGUGUAGCGGUGAAAUGCGUAGAGAUCUGAAGGAAUACCGGUGGCGAAGGCGGCCCCCUGGACAGAUACUGACACUCAGAUG